rnacentral:rRNA from 1 species
UUCCUACGGGAGGCAGCAGUGGGGAAUAUUGGACAAUGGGCGAAAGCCUGAUCCAGCCAUGCCGCGUGUGUGAAGAAGGUCUUCGGAUUGUAAAGCACUUUAAGUUGGGAGGAAGGGCAGUUACCUAAUACGUGAUUGUUUUGACGUUACCGACAGAAUAAGCACCGGCUAACUCUGUGCCAGCAGCCGCGGUAAUACA